rnacentral:rRNA from 1 species
AACGUAGGUCACAAGCGUUGUCCGGAAUUACUGGGUGUAAAGGGAGCGCAGGCGGGCAGACAAGUUGGAAGUGAAAUCCAUGGGCUCAACUCAUGAACUGCUUUCAAAACUGUAUGUCUUGAGUAGUGCAGAGGUAGGCGGAAUUCCCGGUGUAGCGGUGGAAUGCGUAGAUAUCGGGAGGAACACCAGUGGCGAAGGCGGCCUACUGGGCACCAACUGACGCUGAGGCUCGAAAGUGUGGGUAGCAAACAGG